AAAGAAAGAAAGAAACUUCGACAAUUCUGUGGAGAUAAACUUUCAGUAGACGUGGAGCAGAUUAUCACAGUUGAAUUGUGCUGAGAGAAGAGCUGAAAUGACUAAGCUCACAGGAAAACUACCAAAGGGCGUUACUGAAUGUCCAGUUUACAGUCUCCAAAGGGGAGCUGCCUCUGCUGGUGGUGAUGCAUGGAACAUGGCUUUAUUGUGUGAACCUUGGAAAUGGACACCAGAGAGUCCUGGACUUGUAGUCGGUGUAGCAGAAGUUGAUCUGGGGCCGAGGUCUUAAGAUUUCUGAGGCUCAAGACAUGAGUAAUAGAUUGCUAGUCUUUCCAUGGAUGAGAACCGGCAAAAUCUCUAAGUGAGAAAUCACAUCAUCUAUAGUUCAAAGCAGAGUUCCUAUUCCAAUGAGAAAGAAUACUCAUCAGAAGGUCAAGGCAUGCAACCAACCAAUCCAUACGAUGUGUUCCAAUAUGCUCAACUCUGCUCUCAAUGUUUUGCAGCAUGUCAGAAUGUAAACUUAACAGCAACCUCUGAGGUGUUAAAUACAGACAAGUCA
rnacentral:lncRNA from 1 species